rnacentral:rRNA from 1 species
GACGAACGCUGGCGGCGUGCUUAACACAUGCAAGUCGAACGACGUGGCGCACGGGUGAGUAACGCGUAUUCAACCUGCCCUUCAGAGGGGGACAACAGUUGGCAACGACUGCUAAUACAGCCGACUGAAGGAGUGGGUUGUGGCUGAUUAGCUAGUUGGCGGGGUAAAGGCCCACCAAGGCGAUGGUCAGUAGGAGGUCGGGGAGGAUGAACGGCCACAUUGGGACUGGGACACGGCCCAGACUCCUACGGGAGGCAGCAGGGGGGAAUCUUCCGCAAUGGACGAAAGUCUGACGGAGAAACGCCGCGUGAGUGAGGACGGCCUUCGGGUUGUAAAGCUCUGUUAAUCGGGACGCGGUACCGGAAUAGAAAGCCACGGCUAACUACGUGCCAGCAGCCGCGGUAAUUC